GGAAGCUGGAUGAAAAGAAAUUUUCACGUCCAGAUUUCACAGAGAGGGGCGAGAGAUAAUACUCUCCCUCGACUCUAC
rnacentral:ncRNA from 1 species